rnacentral:rRNA from 1 species
UACGUAGGGUGCAAGCGUUAAUCGGAAUUACUGGGCGUAAAGCGUGCGCAGGCGGUUAUGCAAGACAGAUGUGAAAUCCCCGGGCUCAACCUGGGAACUGCAUUUGUGACUGCAUGGCUAGAGUACGGUAGAGGGGGAUGGAAUUCCGCGUGUAGCAGUGAAAUGCGUAGAUAUGCGGAGGAACACCGAUGGCGAAGGCAAUCCCCUGGGAUAACACUGACGCUCAUGCACGAAAGCGUGGGGAGCAAACAGG